AUGCUCUUCGGUUGGCGUGUUAUCCUCCACCUUGCCGGUUGAAGCCGUGAAUGAGAAGCGAGUAACACUGAUAGCUGCUGCGGUUUGCAUGCUCGGAACUGCCUCCUUCUGGGUCUACUAAAACUGCUUGAACGUUGCUGAGAGCCGAAGGUGGUGGUGCUGGUGUCCGGGUGGUGGUAUUCCCUUCCUGUGUGCUGUGUCUCCCCGUUUUCAUUUACUGUGUCCACUGUUGUGUGUUUUUGUGUAUUCACGGGUGACUUUCCCUGGGAUCCCUCACUGCCCUCGUAUUCCCUUCUCCUCCACUGGUAAGCCUCAGCACAAUUAUUUUCUCCCCCUUUUGGUAAGAAUGUGUUUUAAA